rnacentral:tRNA from 1 species
GGAGCGGUGGCCGAGCGGUCGAAGGCGGCGGUCUUGAAAACCGUUGUAUUGAAAGAUACCGGGGGUUCGAAUCCCUCCCGCUCCG